rnacentral:misc_RNA from 1 species
UUUCCGUUGGUGAACCAGCGGAGGGAUCAUUACAGGACUCGCAAGACUCCUACAACCCUGUGAACUUAACUAUAAGCACGUUGCUUCGGCGGGUGUCUCGGAGGGGGUUCUCCCUCCCCGAGACGCUAAACCCGCCGGCAGCCUACUAUACUCUGUCUCUUUUCGUUGGCAUCUCGAGUACAAUCAAACAAGUUAAAACUUUCAACAACGGAUCUCUUGGUUCUG